rnacentral:rRNA from 1 species
CCUACGGGGGGCUGCAGUGGGGAAUAUUGGACAAUGGGGGGAACCCUGAUCCAGCCAUGCCGCGUGUGUGAAGAAGGCCCUCGGGUUGUAAAGCACUUUCAGUGAGGAAGAACGCCUGGUGGUUAAUACCCAUCAGGAAAGACAUCACUCACAGAAGAAGCACCGGCUAACUCCGUGCCAGCAGCCGCGGUAAUACGGAGGGUGCGAGCGUUAAUCGGAAUUACUGGGCGUAAAGCGCGCGUAGGUGGCUUGAUAAGCCGGUUGUGAAAGCCCCGGGCUCAACCUGGGAACGGCAUCCGGAACUAUCAAGCUAGAGUGCAGGAGAGGAAGGUAGAAUUCCCGGUGUAGCGGUGAAAUGCGUAGAGAUCGGGAGGAAUACCAGUGGCGAAGGCGGCCUUCUGGACUGACACUGACACUGAGGUGCGAAAGCGUGGGUAGCAAACAGGAUUAGAUACCCGAGUAGUC